rnacentral:rRNA from 1 species
CCCCUACCAUUAGUUGCCAUCAGGUUAUGCUGAGCACUCUAAUGGGACUGCCUACGCAAGUAGUGAGGAAGGUGGGGAUGACGUCAAGUCCGCAUGGCCCUUACGCCUAGGGCUACACACGUGCUACAAUGGGUGCUACAACGGGUUGCUAAACUGUAAAGUGGAGCCAAUCCUCUAAAGGCACCCCCAGUUCGGAUUGGAGUCUGCAACUCGACUCCAUGAAGUUGGAAUUGCUAGUAAUCGCGGAUCAGCACGCCGCGGUGAAUACGUUCCCGGGCCUUGUACACACCGCCCGUCAAGCCAUGGAAGCCGGGGGUACCCGAAGCCAGUAUCCUAACCGCAAGGAGGGAACUGUCUAAGGUAAAACCGGUGACUGGGGCUAAGUCGUAACAAGGUAACC